AUGCGCCACCCGUACACUCCGGUUGCUCCGCGCCGUCCACGCCCAGCUGACGGCUGUUCGCGAGGUUUUGGUAGCC
rnacentral:sRNA from 1 species